GACGAACGCUGGCGGCGUGCUUAACACAUGCAAGUCGAACGCUGAAGCAUCCAGCUUGCUGGGUGUGGAUGAGUGGCGAACGGGUGAGUAACGCGUGAGUAACCUGCCCCUGACUUCGGGAUAAGCCUGGGAAACUGGGUCUAAUACCGGAUAUGACUACUGGCCGCAUGGUCUGGUGGUGGAAAGGGUUUUACUGGUUGGGGAUGGACUCGCGGCCUAUCAGGUUGUUGGUGGGGUAGUGGCCUACCAAGACGACGACGGGUAGCCGGCCUGAGAGUGCGCCCGUCCACACUGGGACUGCGACACGGACCAGACUCCUACGGGAGUCAGCAGUGGGGAAUAUUGCCCAAUGGGGGGAACCCUGAUGCAGCGCCGCCGCGUGCGGGAUGACGGCCUUCGGGUUGUAAACCGCUUUCAGUAGGGAAGAAGCGAAAGUGACGGUACCUGCAGAAGAAGUACCGGCUAACUACGUGCCAGCAGCCGCCGUAAUAC
rnacentral:rRNA from 1 species